rnacentral:rRNA from 1 species
GACGAACGCUGGCGGCGUGCUUAACACAUGCGAGUCGAGCGGAAAGGCCCUUCGGGGUGCUCGAGCGGCGAACGGGUGGGUAACACGUGAGUAACCUGCCCCAGACUUUGGGAUAACCCUCGGAAACGGGGGCUAAUACCGGAUACGACACAGCUUCGCCUGGGGUCUGUGUGGAAAGUUUUUCUGUUUGGGAUGGGCUGGCGGCGUAUCAGCUUGUUGGUGGGGUGAUGGCGUACCAAGGCGACGACGGGUAGCAUGCCUGGGCGGGCGAGCUGCCACACUGGGACUGAGCUACGGCACAGCCUCGACUGGUAGGCAGCGGUGGAGAAGAGUGCAUAGUGGGCGGAAGCCAGAUGCAGUGACGCCGCGUGGGGGAUGAGGGCCUUCGGGUUGUGAACUACUGUCAGUUGGGACGAGGCGUUAGUGACGGUACCUGCAGAAGAAGCUCCGGCCAACUACGUG